rnacentral:rRNA from 1 species
CAGAGGUCCCGAGCGUUGUUCGGAUUUAUUGGGCGUAAAGGGUGCGUAGGCGGCGGAGUAAGUUGGGUGUGAAAUCCCGGGGCUUAACCUCGGAAUGGCAUUCAAUACUGCUUCGCUAGAGUACUGGAGAGGAGGCUGGAAUUUACGGUGUAGCAGUGAAAUGCGUAGAUAUCGUAAGGAAGGCCGGUGGCGAAAGCGAGCCUCUGGACAGUUACUGACGCUGAUGCACGAAGGCCAGGGGAGCGAACGGGAUUAGAUACCCCGGUAGUCCUGGCAGUAAACGGUGCGCGUUUGGUGUGGGGGGAUUCGACAAUCUCCGCGCCGGAGCUAACGCGUUAAACGCGCCGCCUGGGAAUACGGUCGCAAGAUUA